ACGUAUGGAGCAAGCGUUAUCCGGAUUUACUGGGUGUAAAGGGAGCGUAGGCGGCGGGGCAAGUCUGAUGUGAAAACCCGGGGCUCAACCCCGGGACUGCAUUGGAAACUGUCCUGCUAGAGUGUCGGAGGGGUAAGUGGAAUUCCUAGUGUAGCGGUGAAAUGCGUAGAUAUUAGGAGGAACACCGGUGGCGAAGGCGGCUUACUGGACGACAACUGACGCUGAGGCUCGAAAGCGUGGGGAGCAAACAG
rnacentral:rRNA from 1 species